rnacentral:rRNA from 1 species
UACUCCAGUGCAUGGGGUAAGACCAAUGCUUUUCUAGACUCUAAAAAGGUCUUGGAAAAAAGGGGGGUAAGGACGGUGCCAGCCGCCGCGGUACCCCGGCGCCUCAAGUGGUCAUCACUUUUUUGGGCCUAAAGCGUCCGUAGCCGGCUUGAUACAUUCGUGGUUAAAUCAACCAGCUUAACUGGUUGAAUUCUGCGAGGACGGUCAGACUUGGGGACCGGGAGAGGUGUGGGGUACGCUCAGGGUAGGGGUAAAAUCCUGUCAUCCUGAGCGGACCACCUGUUGCGAAGGCGCCACACUAGAACGGAUCCGACGGUCAGGGACGAAGCCUAGGGGCACGAACCGGAUUAGAUACCCGGGUAGUCCUAGGUGUAAACGCUGUGACCUUGAUGUUGGGGGUGCUCCGAGCACUCUCAGUGUCGAAGCGAAGGUGAUAAGUCCACUGCCUGGGAAGUACGGUCGCAAGGUUGAAACUUAAAGGAAUU